rnacentral:rRNA from 1 species
UGGGGAAUAUUGCACAAUGGGCGCAAGCCUGAUGCAGCCAUGCCGCGUGUAUGAAGAAGGCCUUCGGGUUGUAAAGUACUUUCAGCGGGGAGGAAGGGAGUAAAGUUAAUACCUUUGCUCAUUGACGUUACCCGCAGAAGAAGCACCGGCUAACUCCGUGCCAGCAGCCGCGGUAAUACGGAGGGUGCAAGCGUUAAUCGGAAUUACUGGGCGUAAAGCGCACGCAGGCGGUUUGUUAAGUCAGAUGUGAAAUCCCCGGGCUCAACCUGGGAACUGCAUCUGAUACUGGCAAGCUUGAGUCUCGUAGAGGGGGGUAGAAUUCCAGGUGUAGCGGUGAAAUGCGUAGAGAUCUGGAGGAAUACCGGUGGCGAAGGCGGCCCCCCUGGACGAAGACUGACGCUCAGGUGCGAAAGCGUGGGGCAGCAGACAGGAUUAGAUACCCUGGUAGUCCACGCCGUAAACGAUGUCGACUUGGAGGUUGUGCCCCUUGAGGCGUGGCUUCCGGAGCUAACGCGUUAAGUCGACCGCCUGGGGAGUACGGCCGCAAGGUUAAAACUCAAAGGAAUUGAC